rnacentral:rRNA from 1 species
ACGGGUGAGUAACACGUGAGUAACCUGCCCCUGACUCUGGGAUAAGCGUUGGAAACGACGUCUAAUACUGGAUAUGAUCACUGGCCGCAUGGUCUGGUGGUGGAAAGAUUUUUUGGUUGGGGAUGGACUCGCGGCCUAUCAGCUUGUUGGUGAGGUAAUGGCUCACCAAGGCGACGACCGGUAGCCGGCCUGAGAGGGUGACCGGCCACACUGGGACUGAGACACGGCCCAGACUCCUACGGGAGGCAGCAGUGGGGAAUAUUGCACAAUGGGCGAAAGCCUGAUGCAGCAACGCCGCGUGAGGGAUGACGGCCUUCGGGUUGUAAACCUCUUUUAGUAGGGAAGAAGCGAAAGUGACGGUACCUGCCGAAAAAGCACCGGCUAACUACAUGCCACCACCCGCGGUAAUACGUAGGGUGCAAGCGUUGUCCGGAAUUAUUGGGCGUAAAGAGCUCGUACGCGGUUUGUCGCGUCUGCUGUGAAAUCCCGAGGCUCAACCUCGGGCUUGCAGUGGGUACCGGCAGACUACAGUGCGGUAUGGGAGAUUGGAAUUCCUGGU